GUCCGUGGAUGCAUUGUUAGGUGACAAGUUGUUGUGGGUUGUACGAUUUCCAUCUCUUAUCAGUUGAAAUUUUCACCUGGAAUACCGGUGGCAUACGUGUUGUUAAAUUUGGUCAGGCAGCUUGGAAGCAGAUACAAAUAAGGACAAAGAUUUCCUCGGUAAGAAAACAAAUGGAAAUGUUCCCUUGCUUUGGUUGGAUGGGUGUAGGAGCAGCAAGCAUCGCCGCCACACGGAAAACUCCAGUAACUUCUUGCCCCUUCCAGCCUCGGUGAGAUGGCAUCGUAUUUUUUGAUCACGAACGACUUCAAGCUGAAGAUGUUGAACCAUGCGAUGCAAGAAUUAUUAUUUUGGGCUCCUAUGGAAGACUCAUGUAAUUGCUGUCAAGAACACUGUCAGUUCAGCGGUUGUCAUCAUGCAAGCAAUUGGCCGCUGAUCUGCUUGCUCUUUGUACUACUAAAGGUGGCAUCAUACGGCGAAGCAGGGGAUAUGGAUCAGAAGCCGCAAUGGUGCGCGUGACGACAUGUCUAACACUUGCCUGACCCUGGACUCUGGCUUCUUCUUGCAAGUAAGCUCAUUUUGCUCUUCUACACCCCCAACUCAUGUGAGGAUCUCUGGUUGGAUUUGGGUAACCAGACCCCAAGAGAUGUAAUCCUAUUUGGAUAUAAAUUGUCUAUGCUAGCUUGAUUUAGUUAAUAGGAGUAGAUUUUAUAGAUGAACUGUGUAUGCUAGCUUGAUGGGGUAUCCAUUAACGUCUAAGGUUUCACAAGGAAAUGAGUUUCUUGCAUUCUCAUGUUGAAAAGGAUUAAAGAAACCUAGCAGAAUAUGGUUUCAAAGUUUUAGUUUCUUAUUGGGUUCAUCCACAAGGUUUGCCGAAAGUUAUCAACUUGCUUUGUAAAAAGGCUUUGUAUCAUGUAUCUUUGUUUGUGCAAGAAAUCCAAUUGGAAUUGGUCUCUUGUCAUGUGCAUGUACUUUCUUUAUUGCUUAUAUAUUUCAACCACUUAU